AAGACCAUGCUUUUAAGGAUCAUUUCUUAAGUAUGUGUCGCAACGGUAUCCGAUUCUAUUGAUGAUGAUAUGUAUAUGUAUAUAUAUAUAUAUACA
rnacentral:snoRNA from 1 species